GUGCUUGUUUUGGCAGCAUAUAUUACUGAAACUGGAAAGAUACAGAGAAGAUUAGCAUGGCCCUGGAGCAUCAGGGGCACAAAAGUUCAUGAAACAUUUCAUAUUUUU